rnacentral:rRNA from 1 species
CCCACGGGAGGCAGCAGUAGGGAAUCUUCCACAAUGGGCGAAAGCCUGAUGGAGCAACGCCGCGUGGGUGAAGAAGGUCUUCGGAUCGUAAAACUCUGUUGUUAGAGAAGAAAGUGCGUGAGAGUAACUGUUCACGUUUCGACGGUAUCUAACCAGAAAGCGACGGCUAACUACGUGCCAGCAGCCGCGCUAAUACGUAGGUGGAAAGCGUUAUCCGGAUUUAUUGGGCGUAUAGGGAACGCAGGCGGGCGUUUAAGACUGAUGUGAAAGCUUUCGGCUUAACCGGAGUAGUGCAUGGGAAACUGGGAGACUUGAGUGCAGAAGAGGAAAGUGGAACUCCGAGUGUAGCGGUGAAAUGCGUAGAUAUAAGGAGGAACACCAGUGGCGAAGGCGGCUCUCUGGUCUGUAACUGACGCUGAGGUUCGAAAGCGUGGGGAGCAAACAGGAUUAGAUACCCUAGUAGUC